AACGCUGUAACAAUCGGGUUGCAGUAAGAGCCGAUAGGGGCUAUUCGU
ncrna:unclassified sequences gut-2 RNA